rnacentral:rRNA from 2 species
CUCGUUGAUGAUCGGUGCUUGCACCGAGAUUCAACAUGGAACGAGUGGCGGACGGGUGAGUAACACGUGGGUAACCUGCCCUUAAGUGGGGGAUAACAUUUGGAAACAGAUGCUAAUACCGCAUAGAUCCAAGAACCGCAUGGUUCUUGGCUGAAAGAUGGCGUAAGCUAUCGCUUUUGGAUGGACCCGCGGCGUAUUAGCUAGUUGGUGAGGUAAUGGCUCACCAAGGCGAUGAUACGUAGCCGAACUGAGAGGUUGAUCGGCCACAUUGGGACUGAGACACGGCCCAAACUCCUACGGGAGGCAGCAGUAGGGAAUCUUCCACAAUGGACGCAAGUCUGAUGGAGCAACGCCGCGUGAGUGAAGAAGGCUUUCGGGUCGUAAAACUCUGUUGUUGGAGAAGAAUGGUCGGCAGAGUAACUGUUGUCGGCGUGACGGUAUCCAACCAGAAAGCCACGGCUAACUACGUGCCAGCAGCCGCGGUAAUACGUAGGUGGCAAGCGUUAUCCGGAUUUAUUGGGCGUAAAGCGAGCGCAGGCGGUUUUUUAAGUCUGAUGUGAAAGCCCUCGGCUUAACCGAGGAAGCGCAUCGGAAACUGGGAAACUUGAGUGCAGAAGAGGACAGUGGAACUCCAUGUGUAGCGGUGAAAUGCGUAGAUAUAUGGAAGAACACCAGUGGCGAAGGCGGCUGUCUGGUCUGUAACUGACGCUGAGGCUCGAAAGCAUGGGUAGCGAACAGGAUUAGAUACCCUGGUAGUCCAUGCCGUAAACGAUGAAUGCUAGGUG